rnacentral:rRNA from 1 species
AUUGAACGCUGGCGGCAGGCCUAACACAUGCAAGUCGAGCGGAUGAAGGGAGCUUGCUCCUGGAUUCAGCGGCGGACGGGUGAGUAAUGCCUAGGAAUCUGCCUGGUAGUGGGGGAUAACGUCCGGAAACGGGCGCUAAUACCGCAUACGUCCUGAGGGAGAAAGUGGGGGAUCUUCGGACCUCACGCUAUCAGAUGAGCCUAGGUCGGAUAGCUAGUUGGUGGGGUAAAGGCCUACCAAGGCGACGAUCCGUAACUGGUCUGAGAGGAUGAUCAGUCACACUGGAACUGAGACACGGUCCAGACUCCUACGGGAGGCAGCAGUGGGGAAUAUUGGACAAUGGGCGAAAGCCUGAUCCAGCCAUGCCGCGUGUGUGAAGAAGGUCUUCGGAUUGUAAAGCACUUUAAGUUGGGAGGAAGGGCAGUAAGUUAAUACCUUGCUGUUUUGACGUUACCAACAGAAUAAGCACCGCUAAUU